GACGAACGCUGGCGGCGUGCCUAAUACAUGCAAGUAGAACGCUGAAGAGAGGAGCUUGCUCUUCUUGGAUGAGUUGCGAACGGGUGAGUAACGCGUAGGUAACCUGCCUUGUAGCGGGGGAUAACUAUUGGAAACGAUAGCUAAUACCGCAUAACAAUGGAUGACUCAUGUCAUUUAUUUGAAAGGGGCAAAUGCUCCACUACAAGAUGGACCUGCGUUGUAUGAGCUAGUAGGUGAGGUAACGGCUCACCUAGGCGACGAUACAUAGCCGACCUGAGAGGGUGAUCGGCCACACUGGGACUGAGACACGGCCCAGACUCCUACGGGAGGCAGCAGUAGGGAAUCUUCGGCAAUGGGGGCAACCCUGACCGAGCAACGCCGCGUGAGUGAAGAAGGUUUUCGGAUCGUAAAGCUCUGUUGUAAGUCAAGAACGAGUGUGAGAGUGGAAAGUUCACACUGUGACGGUAGCUUACCAGAAAGGGACGGCUAACUACGUGCCAGCCGCCGCGGUAA
rnacentral:rRNA from 1 species